UACGUAGGUGGCAAGCGUUAUCCGGAAUUAUUGGGCGUAAAGCGCGCGCAGGUGGUUUCUUAAGUCUGAUGUGAAAGCCUACGGCUCAACCGUGGAGGGUCAUUGGAAACUGGGAGACUUGAGUGCAGAAGAGGAAAGUGGAAUUCCAUGUGUAGCGGUGAAAUGCGUAGAGAUAUGGAGGAACACCAGUGGCGAAGGCGACUUUCUGGUCUGUAACUGACACUGAGGCGCGAAAGCGUGGGGAGCAAACAGG
rnacentral:rRNA from 1 species